UUGCGGGCCCUGGAAGUGAGG
rnacentral:misc_RNA from 1 species